GUGUCAGCAGCCGCGGUAAUACAGAGGGUGCGAGCGUUGUCCGGAAUCACUGGGCGUAAAGGGCGCGUAGGCGGUUUUGUAAGUUGGGGGUGAAAUGCUGCGGCUCAACCGCAGCGCUGCCCUCAAGACUGCAAGACUUGAGCACGGUAGAGGCGGAUGGAAUUCCCGGUGUAGCGGUGGAAUGCGUAGAGAUCGGGAAGAACACCAAUGGCGAAGGCAGUCCGCUGGGCCGUUGCUGACGCUGAGGCGCGACAGCGUGGGGAGCAAACAGGAUUAGAUACCCCAGUAGUCC
rnacentral:rRNA from 1 species